AGCGAACGCUGGCGGCAGGCCUAACACAUGCAAGUCGAACGAAGUCUUCGGACUUAGUGGCGGACGGGUGAGUAACACGUGGGAACGCACCUUUUGGUUCGGAAUAACGCAGGGAAACUUGCGCUAAUACCGAAUGUGCCCUUAGGGGGAAAGAUUUAUCGCCAUUAGAGCGGCCCGCGUUGGAUUAGGUAGUUGGUGUGGUAAAGGCGCACCAAGCCUACGAUCCAUAGCUGGUCUGAGAGGAUGAUCAGCCACACUGGGACUGAGACACGGCCCAGACUCCUACGGGAGGCAGCAGUGGGGAAGCAUGCGCAAUGGUCGAAAGACUGACGCAGCCAUGCCGCGUGAAUGAUGAAGGUCUUAGGAUUGUAAAAUUCUUUUAGCAGGGACGAUAAUGACGGUACCUGCAGAAAAAGCCCCGGCUAACUUCGUGCCAGCCGCCGCAGUAAUAC
rnacentral:rRNA from 1 species